UUGUUUGCUGGUGGAGCAUCAUCAAGAUUCACAAGCUUUAGAGGUGGCUUUUGUUUGUGGCGUGGUCCCUUUGUUUCCACAAACCUAUUAGCCCUUCUUAUGUGAGAAUCUUGAUGAUGCUGCAGUGGCAAUAAA